AGUGAACGCUGGCGGUAGGCCUAACACAUGCAAGUCGAACGGCAGCACAGUAAGAGCUUGCUCUUACGGGUGGCGAGUGGCGGACGGGUGAGGAAUACAUCGGAAUCUACUUUUUCGUGGGGGAUAACGUAGGGAAACUUACGCUAAUACCGCAUACGACCUACGGGUGAAAGCAGGGGAUCUUCGGACCUUGCGCGAUUGAAUGAGCCGAUGUCGGAUUAGCUAGUUGGCGGGGUAAAGGCCCACCAAGGCGACGAUCCGUAGCUGGUCUGAGAGGAUGGUCGCCCACACUGGAACUGAGACACGGUCCAGGCUCCUAAGGGAGGCAGCAGUGGGGAAUAUUGGGCAAUGGGCGCAAGCCUGAUCCAGCCAUACCGCGUGGGUGAAGGAGGCCUUCGGGUUGUAAAGCCCUUUUGUUGGGAAAGAAAAGCAGCAGGUUAAUACCCCGCUGUUCUGACGGUACCCAAAGAAUAAGCACCGGCUAACUUCGUG
rnacentral:rRNA from 1 species